rnacentral:tRNA from 1 species
GGAGUAAUAGUCUAGUCGUAUGAUACCCGCUUAGGGUUUUCGAGUGGUCCCGGGUUCGAUUCCCGGUUACUCCC